rnacentral:rRNA from 1 species
UAGUGGCGAACGGGUGCGUAACACGUGGGCAAUCUGCCAUGAAGUGGGGGAUAGCUCGGCGAAAGCCGAAUUAAUACCGCAUGUGAUCAGUGAAGACAUCUUCACGACAUUAAAGCCGGGGCAACCUGGCGCUUCUUGAUGAGCCCGCGGCCUAUCAGCUAGUUGGUGGGGUAACGGCCUACCAAGGCGGUGACGGGUAGCUGGUCUGAGAGGACGACCAGCCACACUGGAACUGAGACACGGCCCAGACACCUACGGGUGGCAGCAGUCGAGAAUUUUUCUCAAUGGGGGAAACCCUGAAGGAGCGACGCCGUGUGGAGGAUGAAGGCUUUCGGGUUGUAAACUCCUGUCAUUUGGGAACAAUGCUAGCUAGUUAACUGUUAGCUAGUUGAUAGUACCAGAAGAGGAAGAGACGGCUAACUCUGUGCCAGCAGCCGCGGUAAUACAGAGGUCUCAAGCGUUGUUCGGAUUCAUUGGGCGUAAAGGGUGCGUAGGUGGCGCGCUAAGUCAGGUGUGAAAUUUCGGAGCUUAACUCCGAAACUGCAUUUGAUACUGGCGUGCUUGAGGACUGGACAGGAGACUGGAAUUCUCGGUGUAGCA